GGCGUCGGGCUCUGUGCGCAGGCGCGCGUCGGUCCUCGGCGGGGCUCCCUGGUGGUCUCGGGCCUGUCUGGGCGCGGCCGCGCGUGGGGCGGGCGGUGGGCCCUGGAGGUCGGCCUCCUGUUCAGCGCGGGCCUCCCGAGGCUGCGAAGAGGGGCGCGGGGCGGAGGCAGAGGCAGCGCCGCCUGGGCCGCGUCCACACUGAAUGGAGGGAGACUGGGAGUCCCGAGCGAACGCGCGGGAAGGGCCGCGUUUGUGGGAGAGGCCGCGCUGGCUGCGGGGUCUCCAUCCUCGUAAUCGCCGAGGCGGCCCGAACGCGGCCCAGAGGACUGAGCGACAGACCCCAUCGGGCCCCGCAGCCCGGGGAGGUAAGACUAGCCCCGUGAUGCUUCUCGGCGCGGCGUGGCGCGCGUUCCUCGGGCCCGAAUACGUAACCGAAGCGUGUGUGCCCGAGGCUUGCGGCGGCGGUGUGCAUCCCGGGUUUCCUUAGUUCCCUUAGGCUGGUAUCCGUCUGGCCCAGCGCGGUCUGGAGCAGCCUCCGGACGCGACGGAGACGCCCCGCAGCUGUGUCGUCCAGGGGUCGAGGGCACUUAAGCCGCGGCCGGCCCGCCUUUGUCCUCAGCCUCCUCUGCGGUCGUAGAAGUGCGGCCUGAGGUCUCUGGAGCUGCGUGUUCUCAGAGAGGCAGAUAUGGCACCCGGAUGAAGGUUCCCGCUGAAGUGAAUUUGUCCCCUAGGCUCUACUGGAACAGAGCAUCUCUACUGAGCCGGAAGGAGGGGGACUCCAGGAACGGGAAUCUCACAGGGAAGAACUCCCGCUCCCUCUAGCCUCUGACCCAAGACCCAUCGGAGCUUCAGAAGGGAAGCGGAGGAAACCCAGAAAAGGAGCGUAUAUCGCCCGGAGGGCGGAGGCUUGAGUGAUUUCACCACCAUCAGCUGCGAGUCACUUUGGACGAGAGAAGGGAGCUGGGACUCAAAGGGAAAAAGCCUGAAAGGGGAAAUGACUUGUGAAGAAUCAGUAAGAGGCACAUAGAAGUCCUGGCAUGUGCUGUCCACACGAUCGCACGGAAACACAUUUCCUCUUUAAAAAAUCCUUUUGAGGAUGUCCCUGGUGGUCCAGUGGGAACGCCUUCCCAGGUUUUGACAGUCUUCCAAGCACAACAGAAAAUGAACAAAUCCCAGAAGUGUGCCGGCCAGGGAUCCGUGUCAUUCAAGGACGUGACUGUGGACUUCACCUGGGAUGAGUGGCUACAGCUGACCUGUAUGCAGAGGACCCUGUACCAGGAUGUGAUGCUGGAAAACUACAGCCACCUGGUCUCCGUGGGGUACUGCGUCAGCAAACCAGAGGUGAUCUUCAAGCUAGAGCAAGGAGAAGAGCCGUGGCCAUUAGAGAGAGCAUUUCCAUGCCGGAGUGAUCCAGGUGAGUUAGUCAUUAUCAGGUGAAAAAAAAGCCACUGGAAAAGCAGACCCAGAUGGAUUGGUCCAGAAGUUGAGACCUUUGGGGUCUGUCUCAGUACUUCUAUGUAGGGGCUUCAGACCUUGGGAAGUAACUGAACGGCGAGCCAGCCUGCCUCAGAUAACCUGAACCACAUUUCCGUCCACCACUCUUAAGUACCAGUGCUUUCCUCUCUGGCCUGACUUUUAGGGAAGGUGACCAUUCUGUGCCCAGUGUUGACCCCCUGCCUGCCUCCUGACCUUUGUUCUUGGUUUCUCCUUUCUAGUAUUCAUCUUCUCUCCAUUUUCAUGGACUAUUUUCUUUUCAGUUUUCCCCGCAGGCAUUUAUUAAUUCAUUCUGCAGAUAUUCUUACUCUGUGCCAUCCACGCUCCUGGUGUCGGGGAUACACCAAUGAACAAACACUGUUCCUGAGCUCCUAUAGCUUACAAGCUAGCAGGAGGAGGAGACGUGAAUAAAUAAGUUUACACAUCCAGUGGUGACGAGAAUGGUGAAAAGAACUAAAACAGGAGAUAGAGAGCGGGGUGUGCUCUUGUAAAAGGUGGUUGGAGAAUGCCUUUCUGAUGAUGUCAGCAUUAGAGCAGAUAAAGAAGUAAGGAGGUGAGUCAUGUGGAUCCUGGGGGUUCCAGGCGAAGGAACAGCCACAGGGCCAAGUUCCUGCGGCAGCAGUUUGUUGGAAGUGCUCUGAGGAAAACAGGGAGGCCAGAGUGGUGGCAGGGGAGCACCUGAGAGGGAUGCUGGUGGGAGGUGACAUCAGACAGGUAGCCAGGGGCCAAAUGAUGUCUUACAGGACACGGCGAGGGCUUUGACUUCAUUUGGGGCGGGUUGUGUAGCUAUUACUGGAUUUCUACAAAAGAGUAUGUUUUAAAAGAAUUUCUUUGCUACUAUGCAGAGGAAAUUGGGGACAGGGACAAGGGUGGUGGACAAAGUAAAAGCAUAAAAACAGUGUGAAAUGCUGGCUCCUGAAAUACUGACCACCACCAUUGUUAAGGCGAAUCUUAAUUUAUUGCUCACCCUGACAGUCUUCGUAGCAUCUUGGAAAAGAGUGAACAAAGUCAGGUUAUUUAUGAGAUUUGAGGGUAUAGUUUAAAGUAUAUUUUUUUAAUUCAGGGGCUUAAUAACCUUUGGGUAAGAAUUAUGAUUUAACAGUUUAGGAUUUGUGGACAGGUCUUGGAGAAUAAGUAGUAUAGUAUCUAUGGGAAAGGUGAGAAGUUUGUUUAAAAGGGUUUUGAGGCAGCUUCUGAAAUGAACAGUAAGAUCAUUUGCAACUUCUAUUUUCCUGGGCAUGAGUUUCAUGGGGCAGGAAAGUCUGCCGGUAACACAGUCGAACAGUAGUCAUGGUAAUGCAGAGAGUAAGCUGUGUGGAUGUUGACGGUUUCAGCUCUCGACAGCAAAGAGGUGUUUGCAGUGGCUCAGAUGUGAAGUGAGGGAGGGGGUAGACGUGAUGAAAUGUGGCUCCACGUUGGGAGAGUAGGAUUUGCUGUUGGGUAGGAUGUGGAGUGAGAGAAUGGGGUGGGGAGCCGAGGAUGACCUCAGUAUUUAGUCUGAGCAACCUGCUGGGGUGGGAAGCAUUCACUGAGAUGGGAAAAGUGGGGAGGAGCAGUUCGGGGCAAAUUUUUUAAGAAGUGACUUUGAGAAGCGUCAGUGACUUGAGAUGAUUAUUCAAAUUUAGAUGUUGAUAAGGCCCUUGGACAUACAGAUCUGGAGUUGGAGAACAGACAGGAGUGCAGAUUAAAUUUGAAAGUCAUGAGUUGAAAGGUGGUAUGCAGACAUAACUGGGCCUCGGGCAGUGGAUGUGGAUAGACAGGAAAAGAGGCUGCAACCCACAGCCUUACAACACGUAGGAGUCACAAGCGUAACAGAGAAGAAAACCCAGAGAGAUGUCUGGAGGGCAAGAAAGGUGCUUGUCAAGAAGGAUACAAUGAAUUUCUAGUUUGAAAUAGGAAAUAUGAAGUCAGCGUUUUCCCCCUUUGUUCCUGUAAACCAUCUAAAACCAACUAGGAGAUUGAGAAAUGAGUUGCAGACUGGUAUUUUGUAUAAAUCUGAGAAAUAGCUAAACUUGAAACCAUGACAUAAGGGGAAGAACUGUUGAAAGCAAUAAAAAAUCAAGCUGGGUACAGGCACCUGGAAUUGGAACCAGAGAGAGACCUCCAGGGCUGCUGACCUCAGAAAGAAAUGCAAGGUGACUAACCCUUGGUAAAACAUCAGGAAGGGAUUGAACAAGAUUGUGGCAGGAACUUCCUUGUUACCUGCUUUGGUUCUGAGAAGCAGAGAAGUGGGAUUCAGGGUGGAAUCACACACAUAACCCUUAACUGUGUAAAGUAUUGGUCUUUGUAGCAUUUGGGGGAUAAACGAGACUUUGCACGUGAAAAUGCCCAUAGGUUUUCAGAGAGAAAUAAAAAAUAAUCAAAUAUAAUGUUAAGUCCUUGGUCCUAAGCAGCCAGUGCAGGAUGCAUGGAUGUUUUCGUAAGAAAAAAAAAAA